rnacentral:rRNA from 1 species
UACGGAGGGUGCAAGCGUUAUCCGGAUUUACUGGGUUUAAAGGGUGCGUAGGUGGGCCUGUAAGUCAGUGGUGAAAUCUUCAAGCUUAACUUGGAAACUGCCAUUGAUACUAUAGGUCUUGAAUUAUCUGGAGGUAAGCGGAAUAUGUCAUGUAGCGGUGAAAAUGCUUAGAGAUGACAUAGAACACCCCAUUGCGAAGGCAGCUUACUACGGAUUGAUUUGACACUGAGGCACGAAAAGCGUGGGGGAUCAAAACAGG